UACGUAGGGACCGAGCGUUGUCCGGAAUCAUUGGGCGUAAAGAGCGUGUAGGCGGCCACUUAAGUCCUGCGUGAAAUCUUGCGGCUCAACCGCAAGCGGUCGUGGGAAACUGGGUGGCUAGAGUGCGGGAGAGGAGAGUGGAAUUCCUGGUGUAGCGGUGGAAUGCGCAGAUAUCAGGAAGAACACCCGUGGCGAAGGCGGCUCUCUGGAACGCAACUGACGCUGAGACGCGAAAGCGUGGGGAGCAAAUAGG
rnacentral:rRNA from 1 species